UUCCGAGGAGGAACUAUAGAUGACGAGUCUGAAUUUCCUUGAUGAAAAAGACUCUUUAAUUCCAUUCAUGCUAACUGAGG
rfam:Schizosaccharomyces cryophilus OY26 unplaced genomic scaffold supercont4.8, whole genome shotgun sequence.